AGGACGAACGCUGGCGGCGUGCUUAAAACAUGCAAGUCGAACGAGGUGCCAACUUCGGUUGGUUACCUAGUGGCGGACGGGUGAGUAACACGUGGGUGACCUGCCCGAAAGUGGGGGAUAACCUCCCGAAAGGGAAGCUAAUACCGCAUGUGGUCGUCAAUUCAUUUUGACGAGUAAAGCCGCAAGGCGCUUUCGGAGGGGCUCGCGGCCGAUUAGCUUGUUGGUGGGGUAAUGGCCUACCAAGGCGACGAUCGGUAGCUGGUCUGAGAGGACGACCAGCCACAUGGGGGACUGAGACACGGCCCCCAACUCCUACGGGAGGCAGCAGUUGGGAAUAUUGCGCAAUGGGCGAAAGCCUGACGCAGCGACGCCGCGUGGGGGGACGAAGGGCUCUUGGGUCGUAAACCCCGUUUUGCCGGGGAAGAAGAUCUGACGGUACCCGGCGAAUAAGGCCACGGCUAACCGUACGUGCCAGCAGCCGC
rnacentral:rRNA from 1 species